rnacentral:rRNA from 1 species
UACGAACUGUGCGAACGUUAUUCGGAAUUACUGGGCGUAAAGCGUGCGCAGGCGGUUUUGUAAGCCAGAUGUGAAAUCCCCGGGCUUAACCUGGGAAUGGCAUUUGGGACUGCAAGGCUGGAGUGCGGCAGAGGAGACUGGAAUUCCUGGUGUAGCAGUGAAAUGCGUAGAUAUCAGGAGGAACACCGAUGGCGAAGGCAGGUCUCUGGGCUGACACUGACGCUCAUGCACGAAAGCGUGGGGAGCAAACAGG